UGGUGAGGUAGAAUCCCGAGCUCUGUCCCCAGAUGAAAGGUGCGACAGGUGCAAUUCCUGUGGGACACCUAGGGUUGGACAGACACAGAGACCGUUGUAGACGAGGGACUGUCGUGCUCUCCAGCUAACGGAGGGGGGACCUGCGAGGACACAGGCAAGAACUCCCACAACAGAGGAGGCUGAGCUGGGGCUGAAGGGCCAUGCUGGUGCUGCUUGGAGUCUCCACCACUGGGAGCAUAGCUCGCCUGGGCGCCGGGCGCUGAGCUGUGCGCUUUCUGUUCUUUAUUGCCUUGAAACGUCACACUGGCCUUAAGAAAUGGAUACUCUUACUACCUUUUGCAGGUGAGUCACCUGAGGCUUAGAGAAGUUAAAUGACGUGCCCAGCAUCACACACCUACCAAUGUCAGACCUGCAACCAGGCCCAA
rnacentral:lncRNA from 1 species